UGUUACUGGCUCUUGUUGGAUAACUGUAAAGCACAAAAAAGGCAAGAAUACAGAUGGGAAACCUAAAGAGAUGAUCCAUUUACAUCCUCAAGAAGACAACAGUGUAAAGCCUCAGACACUGCAAACCAAUCAGGAAGACAGCAGUGCCCUUCCUUGACAAAGUACCAGAGCUGGGGAACACCUUGAAUCACAAUGUUGUUGGAAAGGAGCCUAUUCAACAGAGUAAGAUGUGAGACUCAUACAAUGACAGACGUGACCUCGCAGAGACCAGACAUGUGCCCAAGAAGAUGCUGACACGCUCCCAGGAGCCCGUAAAAUCUCCCUCCUCUUAGCCUGGAUUACUGUCAGUCCUCUUGCCCUCCGCUGCUGAAUGCACACCUCAGCUAGUAAGGGGAAAAGACUGCACUCAGGGUUUAUAAAUAGUCUCAGUUACGUAAAGGAAGACGGUGUCACUUUGGAUUUCUGUUUACACAUUUGUGAUUUCCCUUUCUCACUUUCAAAUAAAUGUUCAUACUAUGGAAUGGGCUCAUUAACGAGAGGAUCAAAAUCCAGGAGGAAGAUAUGAAAAACAAAUGAGUCACACAUAAUUAUACUCUUCAGUGAUAACCACUGUUAAUAUUUUGAUUUUUUGCUAACCUUUCUUCAUACAUGUUUGGUUCUUUAUACACAUAUCUUUCUUAACAGUCACUUUUUCUUCUGUAGAGCAAAAUCUAUUAGAACAGAAAAAUAUAGCUAGAUCCGUUUUUGCUAUCACUAGGAAAAAAGUAUUUUCUGUUUAUUAUAUACAAUGCUGAAGCAACCACAGUGUCUUCUGUUUAGACAGAAGGGGGAGAGGUUUUCAAGAGAAACAUCUUAAACAAUGAGAUCUGGGUAUUUCCUAAGCUCUAUUUCAAAAGCAAUUUGUACUGUGUGUCUAAAACAUACUAACUUAAAUAAAAGGAUAAUUUUAUUAUAAA